rnacentral:rRNA from 1 species
UACGUAGGGGGCAAGCGUUGUCCGGAAUCAUUGGGCGUAAAGAGCUCGUAGGCGGUGUGUCACGUCGUUCGUGAAAACCUGCAGCUUAACUGUGGGCGUGCGGUCGAUACGGGCAUCACUGGAGUUCGGCAGGGGAGACUGGAAUUCCUGGUGUAGCGGUGAAAUGCGUAGAUAUCUGGAGGAACACCGGUGGCGAAGGCGACGCCUGGACCGGCAUUGACGCUGAGGCGCGAAAGCCAGGGGAGCAAACGGG